ACUCCUACGGGAGGCAGCAGUGGGGAAUAUUGGACAAUGGGCGAAAGCCUGAUCCAGCCAUGCCGCGUGUGUGAAGAAGGUCUUCGGAUUGUAAAGCACUUUAAGUUGGGAGGAAGGGUUGUAGAUUAAUACUCUGCUAAUUUUGACGUUACCGACAGAAUAAGCACCGGCUAACUCUGUGCCAGCAGCCGCGGUAAUACAGAGGGUGCAAGCGUUAAUCGGAAUUACUGGGCGUAAAGCGCGCGUAGGUGGUUCGUUAAGUUGGAUGUGAAAUCCCCCGGGCUCAACCUGGGAACUGCAUUCAAAACUGUCGAGCUAGAGUAUGGUAGAGGUGGUGGAAUUUCCUGUGUAGCGGUGAAAUGCGUAGAUAUAGGAAGGAACACCAGUGGCGAAGGCGACCACCUGGACUGAUACUGACACUGAGGUGCGAAAGCGUGGGAGCAAACAGGAUUAGAUACCCCUGGUAGCGACUGA
rnacentral:rRNA from 1 species